GACGAACGCUGGCGGCGUGCCUAAUACAUGCAAGUCGAACGCACUCUCGUUUAGAUUGAAGGAGUUUGCUCCUGAUUGAUAAACAUUUGAGUGAGUGGCGGACGGGUGAGUAACACGUGGGUAACCUGCCCUAAAGUGGGGGAUAACAUUUGGAAACAGAUGCUAAUACCGCAUAAAACCUAACACCGCAUGGUGUAGGGUUGAAAGAUGGUUUCGGCUAUCACUUUAGGAUGGACCCGCGGUGCAUUAGUUAGUUGGUGAGGUAAAGGCUCACCAAGACCGUGAUGCAUAGCCGACCUGAGAGGGUAAUCGGCCACACUGGGACUGAGGCACGGCCCAGACUCCUACGGGAGGCAGCAGUAGGGAAUCUUCCACAAUGGACGAAAGUCUGAUGGAGCAACGCCGCGUGAGUGAAGAAAGUUUUCGGAUCGUAAAACUCUGUUGUUGGAGAAGAAUGUAUCUGAUAGUAACUGAUCAGGUAGUGACGGUAUCCAACCAGAAAGCCACGGCUAACUACGUG
rnacentral:rRNA from 1 species